AAGGUGUGGUUUUUGGUUGUUGACGUGAAAUGCGAUGAAGGACGGCAGAUUUGGUGGGAAAAUGUUGAACCGCGAUUCAGCACUGAUCGGGCUGAUCAGUUGCUUUUGCUUUCACUCCGCGUUUCUUACUAAUUUCGUCGCCGCUUCUUCUCCGGACCCGCUGCUCGGAUCCGCCCGCGUCGUUUUUCAGACCAACUAUGGCGACAUUGAAUUUGGGUUCUACCCGACCGUCGCCGAAGACGGUGGAGCACAUUUUCAAGCUCGUCCGCCUCGGCGGCUACAACACCAACCACAUCUUUAGGGUUGAGAAAGGGUUCGUCGCCCAAGUGGCCGACGUGGCCAGCGGAAGGUCGGCUUCGAUGAACGAGGAUCAGCGGAGGGAGGCGGAGAAGACGGUGGUCGGCGAGUUCAGUGACGUCAAGCAUGUCAGGGGCAUCCUCUCUAUGGGAAGGCACGAAGAUCCGAACAGCGCCGGAUCAUCCUUCUCAAUGCUGCUUGGAGAUUCCCCUCAUCUUGAUGGGAAGUAUGCAAUAUUUGGGAAAGUUACUAAAGGUGAUGAGACCUUGAAAGCACUCGAGGAACUCCCUACUCGUCGGGAAGGGAUUUUCGUGAUGCCCACCGAGCGCAUUACAAUUCUGUCAACAUAUUACUACGACACCGAGAUGGAGAAUUGCGAAGACACGAGGUCCAUUAUGAAGCGGAGGCUUGCUGCAGCUGCCAUUGAAAUCGAAAGACAGAGAAUGAAAUGUUUCCCAUGACAUAGCAAGCAAAUAUCCGAAUGAAGAAAUGCUGUUUGCUGUCAAUCUUCCAGAUAUCUGCUGUAUUUUGUCAGAAAACAGUUUACAAAGGGUGAGAAAAGUUCAAAGAUCCAUUCAAGCAGACGGGAGACAAUACUUACGGGGUCAAUCGAGUAUCCGCCUCUGUGAAUACCUCUGACGCUAAAAUUGUCUGUAAAUGAACGUUGAAACCUGAAGUUAUACUGGAUGUUGAUAAUGGCUGACAUGUAUGUUGAGGCCACACAUUUGAUUCCUGAUGUUUGCUGUGAAACUGCUGAAACCGUUGCUUGUGCAAGGGGAAGCAAAUAAUGGAUUUAUAGUGGCUUAGUUAUAAACCAAAUCCAAAGUCUGAAAUUCGGGGUUUGAUUUACCGUCGGUAAUAUUAUUCUUCAUUGUUGCUUGUA